rnacentral:ncRNA from 1 species
ACAACUGAUAACUCAAGGAGUGGAAUGACGGGGUAACGCCCUGAAACGCUCCCUCUGAUACUCCGGCUGGCGUUGGCUGUAAAGGUCAGGGUCAGAAGCUCGGUAAAGUCGGCGGAAGUCUGCCGUAAGGGUCAUAAGACCUACGAAAGCGCGGUGGAGGCACCGUGUGCAGGUGACACGCCGGGAGUCUAUAAA